GUGAAUCAUCGAAUUUUUGAACGCAAAUUGCACUCUCUGGUAUUCCGGAAAGUAUGCCUGUUUGAGGGUCAGUUAAAUAACAAUCUGUGUUGUUGCUGCCUUUCGUGGGUAUUCGUCGGAAUUGGGCCGUCUUACCGUCGGUUAAGUGACUUAAAAUUUUUGCAUGAUUUUCGAACGUAUUUAAAUCGCUUACGUACGUUGGAGAUAUCGAGUGCUUA
rnacentral:misc_RNA from 1 species